CCAUGCCGCUGCACUCAGACCGUGUCUGUUGCCAACUCUAGAGUGGAAUUCUUCGCGACUCUGGCCAUAGAUACCAAGAGGGUGUACUCGAUGGCGACUUCGGUCAUUGCGCGUUACAGAUUGUUGUGAAACGUAGAAGAAGAGAUAAGUCAUGCUAUUAACGAAAAUAAUGACAAAAUUUAUAAUUGACUGAUUAGAUAUUCAACGGAAUUUCUCGAUAAUAUAGCCAAAAUGAUAACAAAAUAAUAACAAAAAAGGAAAAUAAACGAGUUUUAUUGCAAUAUGCGUCUACUAUAACAGCUUCCAUCACAACCUUAGGAUUAGGCUGCAUGUCUGCAUGGCCUUCACCUUCUUUGACCUACUUG